rnacentral:rRNA from 1 species
AGAGUUUGAUGGUGGCUCAGNUUGAACGCUGGCGGCAGGCCUAACACAUGCAAGUCGAGCGGAAACGAGUUAUCUGAACCUUCGGGGAACGAUAACGGCGUCGAGCGGCGGACGGGUGAGUAAUGCCUAGGAAAUUGCCUUGAUGUGGGGGAUAACCAUUGGAAACGAUGGCUAAUACCGCAUGAUGCCUACGGGCCAAAGAGGGGGACCUUCGGGCCUCUCGCGUCGAGAUAUGCCUAGGUGGGAUUAGCUAGUUGGUGAGGUAAUGGCUCACCAAGGCGACGAUCCCUAGCUGGUCUGAGAGGAUGAUCAGCCACACUGGAACUGAGACACGGUCCAGACUCCCACGGGAGGCAGCAGUGGGGAAUAUUGCACAAUGGGCGCAAGCCUGAUGCAGCCAUGCCGCGUGUAUGAAGAAGGCCUUCGGGUUGUAAAGUACUUUCAGCAGUGAGGAAGGGGGUGUCGUUAAUAGCGGCAUCUCUUGACGUUAGCUGCAGAAGAAGCACCGGCUAACUCCGUGCCAGCAGCCGCGGUAAUACGGAGGGUGCGAGCGUUAAUCGGAAUUACUGGGCGUAAAGCGCAUGCAGGUGGUUUGUUAAGUCAGAUGUGAAAGCCCGGGGCUCAACCUCGGAACUGCAUUUGAAACUGGCAAACUAGAGUACUGUAGAGGGGGGUAGAAUUUCAGGUGUAGCGGUGAAAUGCGUAGAGAUCUGAAGGAAUACCAGUGGCGAAGGCGGCCCCCUGGACAGAUACUGACACUCAGAUGCGAAAGCGUGGGAGCAAACAGGAUUAGAUACCCUGGUAGUCCACGCCGUAAACGAUGUCUACUUGGAGG